AAAUCAGCGCCUCUCCCGGUAUCCUGACACACAGCCUCUCAGCUCCCACCCUGACACCCACCCCGCUCAGGCCACCCUUCUAGCAGGAGCCUUCCCUGAACUCUCAGGGUCUUGUCAGCUUUCAUCAUUUGGUACCUGGCACGUGUUUCCUUUCAUUGGUGAUCUUUGGUGUGUUUAUUGUAGGCCGACUAUGUGCCAGGCAGUAUGCCAGAGCAUCUCAGGCCAGGAGGCAAGAGUGUUCUUACAAAAGGAACAGUGUCACAUAAUAGCUUCAACAGUAAGUGUGGCCCACUCUGGGGAGUCGGGGAAGGGAAACCAAAGAAGGUUUCGUGGAGGAGGUGUCAAAGGAAGUAUUUCAGGUAGGCCUAUACUGCCUGAGGUUCUAGCAAAGGGUCUGGGGAUACAAGAAGCAGGAGGUGGCCUAACUGGGAGGGUGUGGUCACUAGUGGAAGGAGAGGUAUGAGGAAGAAGAGUGAGUUGAAGGCAAUGCCAGGGCUCUAGUUUAAGGCACUGAUGAAUGGAUGGCGGGGUGUGUCCGCUCUCUCCCCAUGAAGCUACUACAGCUCCCCGAGGUGUACGUGUAUGCGGGUCAGUCAUGUCUGACUCUUCAGGACCCCGUGGACUGUCGCCUACCAGGCUCCUCUGCCCAUGGGGGUUUCCCAGGCAAGAACAGGCCAUUUCCUCCUCCAGGGGAUCCUCCUGUGGCAGGGACUGAACUGGAAUCUUGAGUCUCCUGCAUUGGCAGGUGGAGUCUUCACCCCUGAGCCACCUGGGAAGCCCUCUUGAAGGAUAUAUCUCCAUGUUCCACAACACAGAUAGAGGAAUCUUGACAUCUUUUCCAUCUAUGUCAGUAGCCAAGCAAGCUUCAGUUGGGACCUUUUUAAACCUGAGCAAACCGAGCGAGUUGAGACUCAGAAAAUAGUCCAGGGACUGGCCCCAGUGAGUGAACUGAAAGGUGAGCCCUGGAACCACACCCCAGUGCAAGGCUCUGUCUACGAGGCUGCCCUGCAAAGCACACGGAUCACCAGGGGACAGGCCCCUUCCCAGGAGCACACCACAGUCCAAGUCCCUGAGUAAGUGGCCUCCCCCUCAACCUCCUGGCUUUGGAAACUUAGGGAAGAGCUUAUCAAGUCAGUCACAGACAGCAGUUGCCAUCAGGGGGAAAUGACCUCUUCUAAUCAGCCCUCAGCACUACACAACCCAAACGCACUGGAUGUUUUAUGGAGCAGAACAGGGAGCUGCCAUCCUCAGGAUUUUCACAAACAUUUUCUAAACUGUACUUUUUCUUUUAAUGAGGCCAGCAUUUUUAUACAUCUCUUAGGAUUUGUAAAUGUGAAAAUGCGCUCAAUAAUAACACCCAUUUAAAUUGCAAAACUCCUGCACUGGAGGUUUGAUUUUUAAAUAUUCGUAGACUUGAAAUCCUGCUGGUUCACUGAGGAAGGCAAUUAAUCUCGUUGGCAAAUGCGAUCAUUAUGUGUAUUUAGAGGUGGGGAGUUUGAGGGGGGCCUUAACAGAGGAAGGGGUGAAAUAUAGUCAAGCAGUUCCAUUUGUUAUAACAUUAUUAGUUAGCAGCCACCACACCAGAAAGGGUGUUCACCAGUGGAAACGUCUUAUUUUAUUUUUUAUUCUGUUUGGAAUUUUUCAACAUGAGUGGUUUAUGAAUAAUUAAAUAUUGUGGAGGCAAAAAUUCAAAUCAGCUGGGCUUUUUGUUUAUUGUUUUAUUUGCAUUUAUGCAGAUAAAACCGUCCCAUCUGAGAGCCUAUUUGAGAAUUUAAUACUAUAUUUGUGAGCACUGAGAAAAUCAAUUAAUGGAAAUUAAAUGUUGGAAGUUUCACAGUCUGACAGAUGCAAUCUCAGGCUCAGGUCGCUGGGUGUCUGCACAGGCUUAGGAAGACAGAGCAAUCCAAGACCCUAAAUUGAAUUGCUACCAUAUAGCAAUUAGGUUAUUGAUUUAAUUAAGAAUGCCACCUUUUAAUUUUCAGGUCAUGAUUGAAACCUUUUCUGAUUGAGUAGAAAUGAGAACACUGAAAUGACAGAUUUGUGAGAAACAAUCUUUUUAUGAAUCAAAAUCUAAUGUGAAACUGGCCCCAAACAUUGAUGCUUCAGCAGACAGAUGUAAUAUAUGCAGAUUAUUAGAGAGAAUUUUAAAUGUACAACAAGCUGCUGAUUCCAAACAGAUCGAGUAGCUAUAAAGAAAUACAGAGGUUUAGCUCACACUGAGCCUACAAAUUCAGCCGAAAGGUAAAUGGCACUAAGUAUUGCUUUCAGAAGUUAACUUCUUGCAAAGGCCAAGAAUGAUCUUUCCUCUUUCAACAGCCUAGCACACUCUGCAUUUCCACUGUCAGAGAAAGCAUCAUUUUCAGUAUUUUUAGCUGAGUCUCUCAUUUUUUAAAAAAUCAUACCAUUCCUUCAUUUAACAACACAGUUUCUAUCAGCUCACAAAAUUCUCAGAGCUUAGAAUUAUUAUACACCAGAAGAGCCACCCACACUGUCCAAGAUGAACUUGGUUUUCUAUGUAAAAAUCCUCAGAGGGCAAUUGAGAGACUGUGAAGACACAGCUCAUGACAUUUUGUAUGUAAAGAUGCCAGUUCCCUGAGGUUCUUUAUACGCAAUUGAAACACUGCACCCCCCCCCCAAAAAAAAAAUCCUUUAACCUCAGCUUCUUUAAGACAGGGACAAGGCACAAAAGAACAGUUUCUUGUAUAUGUUUUUUCAUCAUGCCAAAUUUUUGGGAAAAAUAAAGUGUGUUUUUUGGUUUGAA